rnacentral:miRNA from 1 species
CAUAUAUGCAUACAUGAUGUGUGCAUAUAUCAAAUUUAUGUGUAUAUCUACAUAUACACAAACACACACACAUACACACCCAUGUAACA